GGGUCCAUUGCUCAGUUGGUAGAGCACAAGGCUCUUAACCUUGCGGACGUGGGUUCAAGCCCCACGAUGGAGGCU